GGUGCAGAGAUCACGUGCUGAAAACUCACUGCCCCAGGGUGUGUCCUUGCCAAGACGUGUGGAGCUGCCACUGCCACACCUGUGUGCCCAGAGAGGGGAAAGCCGGGGCAGCCAGCCUCCUUUUGGCUGCUUUGGGCCAUAGGCAAGGACUUAGUCCCAGGGUCACACUUGGCUGCUAGGGAGGCCGGGCAAGGUCAUCUGUAGCUGGGCGGCCGUGUGCCGCAGAAAAGGGAAGAGCGUGUUUGUGGGAGACGACUGCAGGUCCGCAGAGUGGGAUCACGUGGAGACGAAACGACAGGGGCCCGCACUUGGUGGUGGGGGAAGAUGGGGAAAGGCUCUCAGUGCGUUUGCUGACUAGAGUCAUCAUGGCAGUUUACUCAGAGAGGAGAAGCCUAGUCUGCCUGCAGGCAUCGGCCAGGGCUGUCCUGGGGACAGAGCAGGCUGAGCUUUGAGGCAGGAGCGCAGCUGGCUCCCGGGCCUCUCGAGGACAGCUAGGCGUUACUCCACCUGGCUCUGCUCUUUCCCCUCUUCGUUCACCCACGAUGUUCCUUCAUCCACCGUCCUGUUGUCUUGUGGGUUAGGGCUGAUGUUUUCGCAGGUCUCAAGCUUUUUUUUCUACCCCAUCCCCCAGGCAUCUUGGCUCUGGAGAAAGCUGCGUGGCAAGAGGCGGUUGGUGACGGCAUUCUGCCUCUUAAUGGCUCUGUCUGUGGUGGCUGUCACCCGCUUCCCUCCACAGCACCCAGCCGCCAGCCCAGACCCUGGUCCCGUGGAGCCCCAGCAGGUAACUGGUGCCCCUGUCCCCCAGAGCAGGCAGGCUCUGAGCUCCGGCUGGAGGCGGCGGGCAAGAAACCUGAGGUUCCGGAGAGGCUGGGCCUUGCCUGGGAGCUCCAUCCUGGUGUGUGCUGAGGAGCAAGGCCACGGAGGGAGCGUGGACAGCAGCAGGCAGUCCCCAGGCAUGGACAGCAGGCGUCCAGGGAGGGUCAAGAGGGGCAUUACUUUGGCACCUCCAGGAGAUCUGAGACUCAGUACCCGGCAUCUGGUGCUCCUGAGGGCAGAUGAGGUCAGGGGUCCAGGAACCAAAGACCUGGACCUCCCCUGGCACAGUGGUCCCCUCUGGGAGGCACAGAGCGAGACGGGCACCCCAGAUGGCCCCCUCGCAGGGCACAACAUGGCAGCAUUACAGACUUGGAGAGCUACUGCUGGACCGACCCUCCGGCCUCAUCCAGCAGAAGGCGGGGAUCUGCCAGGACUGAGGAACAGAGCCUUGACUGGUGGACGACAAGCAGGGGGUCCCUCCCCGGCCACGGGGGCUCGUCAGUGGCCUGGCUCUGUUGGGGAGCUGCAAGGAUCUGUGUGGUGUGACGCUGAGACCCCCAGGCUGUCGAGUGGCUUGAGGACCAGCGAACAGGUGCCCCCGUGGCUCACAGAGCAGGAUGUACAGACCCUCCAGCUGCUGGCGCAGGGGCAGGUGGUGGGCAAAGCCAGGGUCCCUGGCCACGGGCAGGUGCUGCAGGUUGGCUUCUCCGCCAAGGGUGCCCUUCAGGACCUGUCUCCGGGGCUCAGCCACCUCUGCUCCCAGGGGCUCUGUGGCCUGAUCAAGAGGCCUGGGGACCUGUCUGAGGUCCUGUCCUUCCACGUGGACCGUGUGCUGGGGCUGCGCCGGAGCCUACCUGCCGUGGCCAGGCGCUUCCACAGCCCCCUGCUGCCCUACCGCUACACGGACGGUGGCGCAAGGCCCGUCAUCUGGUGGGCACCCGACGUGCAGCACCUGGGUGAUCCAGAUGACGACCAGAACUCGCUGGCCUUGGGCUGGCUGCAGUACCAGGCCCUGCUGGCACGUGACUGCAGCCAGCCGGGCCAGGCCGCAUGCCUGGGCAUCCACCGCACUGAGUGGGCACGCCUGGCACUCUUCGACUUCCUGCUGCAGGUCCAUGACCGCCUGGAUCGCUAUUGCUGCGGCUUCGAGCCCGAGCCCUCGGACCCCUGUGUGGAAGAGAGGCUCCGAGAGAAAUGCCGGAACCCGGGGGAGCUGCGGCUGGUCCACAUCUUGGUCCGGAGCAGUGAUCUCUCUCAUCUGGUCUACAUCGAUAACGCCGGCAACCUUCAGCACCCGGAGCACAAGCUGAAUUUCCGGCUGCUGGAGGGCAUCGACGGGUUUCCUGAGUCUGUCGUGAAGGUUCUCGCAUCAGGGUGCCUACAGAAUAUGCUGCUCAAGUCGCUGCAGACAGACCCGGUGUUCUGGGAAAGCCAAGGCGGGCAGCAGGGCCUACGGCGGGUCCUCCAGACCCUGGAGCGGCGAGGGCAGGUCCUGCUGAGCCACAUCCAGACGCACAACCUGACACUCUUCAGGGACGAGGGCCCGUAAGCCCCCCACGGUCUGGGCGGGACUCUCACCUCACUGCAGGGGGAAGAAGCGGGGGCAUCUCACGACAUGACCUGAGUGGAUAAGUGCCCAUCCUCACGGCCACAUUUUCUUGGGUUUACCCGCCUUGAAGACAAAAGGGAAAAGCCAGAAAUCGGGAGGGCACCAUGGAUUCCACAGGACGUGUCAUCUGCUUGGGAUGGUGGAGGAGAUGGAAUCUCAUCUUCAUCUCCUCUCUCCUUUCUCUUCUGAACUGAUGAAUCGUCAUAUGCCAGUGAGAUCAUUUGCUCUUUAGGCCACACUGCUGACGCCAGCCUUAUUACUACUGCUUUUACAAAAUGUCUGUUUCACAAGCCGGGAUUAAGUUCUUGACAGAGGAACGAAAUAUGGGACAGAGCGCAUUCAAGAGCCUGGUCUUCAUCCCCCGAAACUCAGGCCAAGGGCUGGCGAUUUCUCCUGUGACGGCAAUCUAACGAGAGCAGGACAAACAGAGGGUUUCUUUUUCCUCCAGAAUGAUUUAGAAUGUCUUGCAGAUGAUUGCCCCCUUCUAGCCUGGCUAUGAAUCAGGUAGAUUCAAUCAGACUAGAAGAGUUUUUCCAAAAUUAAAGGAAGCAAAGCCAGCAAGCCUUCAACCUUGUCUUUGAUGAAUGUAAGACAACUGUAAGACAUUUGGCUCAAAUGUCUCCUCUGAGGUUAUGCAGUCUGAAAAUACACAUUGAAGAUCUCCCCCCAAACACUGAUAAAUACCCCCAAAUGAUAUAUUGCCCAGAGUGUUUGCUGAAUGAAGGAAAUUGUUGAAGGAUGGUGUUCCCCAUGUAGAAUUAGAGACCCAGAGCUCCUCUUAACUUCAGUGGGAGACUCCCAGCAGCGAGCAGUGGUGUUGCACGUCACGUCUGCGUGAAAGUCAACUUGCCUAUAGCUGGGCCUCCACAAACCAACUGCCGCCUUCAUCAGCAGACAUUCUCUUGCUAGAAUUUGUGUGUGGUGCACAGUGGAUUGUUUAGGUAGUUUGAAAAAAAAAAAUAGAGUCUCCUUGGGCGACUAAGCAACUGAGCUCAUCUGGGGCACCAUCCCAGGCAGAGACGUUAUCCAUCUUGCUGUCUCUCUGAGGUUUCAUCUGGAUAUAGUGCAUUCUCUAGUCAUGCUGCCUCUGGACAGUCAACCAAACAAUGGUGAAGGCUGAUGGAGAUACACAGAAGAAACUAAGUCAGGGACUACCGACAACUCUGGAGUCUUGUGAAGGGCUGGCUCGUUCAGAGGUUUCAAUAGGUAGAGUCGAUGGUAGGUGAAGUUGGUCAUUCUUGAAGAAUGAAAAGACACUCAGGGAGAAGUGAGAUGGACCACAGGAAGAAAAAAAUUAAAGAUGAACACUUUCAUUAAUGGAUCAUCCCCCCGCUCUCUUUGCCUGUUCUCCUUAAGCACCUUGGGUUGGAACUCCCAGCCCCCAACCUUGAAGGGCCAGCUGGAAAGGUACCUCCUUACUGGUUAAUAGUUAACAUGUACUGAACACUUAACCGUAUGACAGACAUUGGCCAAUAGCUUCACAGCCUUAUUCUAUCUGAUUUUCAUGCAGCCAUGUAAAAAGAUAAAGAAAAAUGUCUUAAAAACUGGCAAGAGAAUUCCUCUUAUGAGAGGGACUGUCUUUUGAAAAGCAACUACAUGAGGUGCUUGGUGAGGGUAGCAGAUACAGAAGUCUGCACUCAUCAGGAUCUCACUCUGCCCUCACUCCAACCCCCUUCCACCAGGCUGCCCACACUGGAGAUGGAGAAAUACAAACUCCGUCUCCCAGACUCUUUGCAACAAGGGAUCCCUGGGACCAAGUCUCCACCAAACAGAUGCACCCUAUAAAACGUGGAAGAAGAAAGAGAACGCCAUGAGGUGGUACCCCUGCCGGGGGAAAUGGUGGCAGAGGACGGUGGUUUCUCUAUAGCUGGCAGAGUCAGUGGUAUUUUCCAUCCCAUGGCACAGCAGCAUGAUCCCAGAGGUGGGGAGGCAGCUGCUCCCUCGGCAGUUCAGUUCUCAGACAUUGCGGGAAUUGUUCCUAGAAAACCAGUCUAGAGUCUGUUCCUCAUCCAUUCCAGUGAACCUCUGAGUCACCUAAUAUUCCUUAAUAAAUCCCAUUCUGUGUCCUC